CGCCCCUUGGAAUGAUAUUUUGCGUUGUUUUACAGUUACUACUUGUUAUUACUUAAUCUAGUAUUAGUCCAUCGUAUGUAUGUACAUAUUAUGCUUGUGGCAGCAUGGCCCAUGGCAUAACCCCCCUUACCCCAGCCCGCAAAUAUUGAAUAUAUAUAAUAAAAAAAAUACUAGUCGAUGUAUUUUUAAUUGCACAUUACAAAUAAUCUAUUUAUUGUAAUUGAACCUCCGUAGUUUUUUAAUUAAAAAUAAAAAAGAAAUGUGCUAUAUGUACCUUGGAAAAAUACGUUUUUCUCAAGAAAUAUUGUGUUUACCGAUAUUCUAUCAACGUUAAAAAAUUGAACCCUAGCUAUUUGUAAUUGAGACACUGCUAAAUAUUGCAAAAAAAGCAUUUAUUUAUAAAAAAAUCUAAAAAAUCACUUUUGAGAAAUUUAACAUACAGCACCAACGUAUUGCGCAUGCGCAAACCACUCCGAGUGCGUCAGCGGUCAGCGUGUGGCAGGCAAAGCGAGCAGCUGUUCUGCAGUGGAGAAAAUACUUAGUGCUGCUGGCUGCACUUUGUGCUGCUGCUGAUGAUGUCGCAUCUGAAAGCAGUAUGCAGCGAUCCAGGGGUUGUGCCAUUGCCGCAAUCAAGGAUGGACUUUUCGGAUAUUCAUACAGGAAGUUCUGGUGGAGAUGAUUGUGAUGAGAAAUGACUGGACUGUGUGCACUAGGUGUGAGACUUACAGACCACCUAGGGCACAUCAUUGUAGGAUUUGUAAAAGGUGCAUUAGGAGAAUGGAUCAUCAAACUUUCUCCUGAUAUUCUUUUCUGUGUCCAUAUUUUGGAAAAACUGUGCUACUUACUCGCACUUGUUGGCAAUAAAGCAGAUAUGAUUCAUCUGAGGCGGAGGAAGGUGAAAUUAUGAAUAAAAUGUUAUAAUUCUUGAUGCAAGGAAAAAAGAACUAUUGUAUGCUUGUGAACACAUGUAAACAAACUUGAUUAUAUAUUAUACUUAUUUGUUUUGAAAUAUAUAAAUAUUCUAAAAUAUGAA